UAGAUGCGAGAGUAGAGCAUAUCAAUAAGCGGAGGAAAAGAAACUAACAAGGAUUCCCUUAGUAACGGCGAGUGAAGCGGGAAGAGCUCAAAUUUGAAAUCUUCAAGGUUCUACCUUGACGAAUUGUAGUUUAAAGAAGUGUUUUCUGUUAGAUGAGUAGCAAAAGUUCCUUGGAAUGGGACAUCAUAGAGGGUGAGAAUCCCGUAUUUGGUUAUUCAUUCUAGCUUUGUGAUACACUUUCAAAGAGUCGGAUUGUUUGGGAAUGCAGUCCAAAAUGGGUGGUAAAUUUCAUCUAAAGCUAAAUAUUGGCGAGAGACCGAUAGCGAACAAGUACCGUGAGGGAAAGAUGAAAAGAACUUUGAAAAGAGAGUUAAACAGUACGUGAAAUUGUCAAAAGGGAAGCGUUUGACACCAGUGUUGUUUUUCCGAAAAUCAAUUACGAAUGGCUUGAUUUUGUGUUGUAUUGACCUUAUCAGCUUUCUGCACUUUUUUCGAGUCUUUCUUAAUGCACUUUUCGGUUAACAAGUCAACAUCAAUUUCUUUUGUUGUAAAAGAGUAUUCGGAAGGUGGCUUUCUUUUCGGAGAAAGUGUUUAUAGCCCUAUACUUCUAGCAAUCGGAGAGAUUGAGGUCUGCAGCGUAGAUCCUUCGGGGUUAGAUACACUUGUGCUAAGUUGUAGCUUUUCAGUAGACAACUUGUUGACUAUGUUUAGUCAUGCGGCUUACUCGCUUAUGCUAUUUUACCUACGCUUAGGAUGUUGAGCGCAUGUCUCUCUCU
rnacentral:rRNA from 1 species